rnacentral:rRNA from 1 species
GUCCACGCCGUAACGAUGAGUGCUAAGUGUUAGGGGAUUCCGCCCCUUAGUGCUGCAGCUAACGCAUUAAGCACUCCGCUGGGGAGUACGACCGCAAGGUUGAAACUCAAAGGAAUUGACGGGGGCCCGCACAAGCGGUGGAGCAUGUGGUUUAAUUCGAAGCAACGCGAAGAACCUUACCAGGUCUUGACAUCCUUUGACCACUCUAGAGAUAGAGCUUUCCCUUCGGGGACAAAGCGACAGGUGGUGCAUGGUUGUCGUCAGCUCGUGUCGUGAGAUGUUGGGUUAAGUCCCGCAACGAGCGCAACCCUUAUUGUUAGUUGCCAUCAUUCAGUUGGGCACUCUAGCGAAACUGCCGGUGACAAACCGGAGGAAGGUGGGGAUGACGUCAAAUCAUCAUGCCCCUUAUGACCUGGGCUACACACGUGCUACAAUGGACAGUACAAUGAGCAGCGACACGGCGACGUGAAGCGAAUCUCAUAAAGCUGUUCUCAGUUCGGAUUGUAGGCUGCAACUCGCCUACAUGAAGCCGGAAUCGCUAGUAAUCGCGGAUCAGCACGCCGCGGUGAAUACGUUCCCGGGCCUUGUACACACCGCCCGUCACACCACGAAAGUUUGUAACACCCAAAGUCGGUGAGGUAACCUUCGGGAGCCAGCUGCCUAAGGUGGGAUAGAUGAUUGGGGUGAAGUCGUAACAAGGUAACCA